rnacentral:lncRNA from 1 species
UUGGUUGAUUUUAUUUAUGAAAAUAUUUUAGGCCGCGCUUGGGCGAAAAAAAUAUUUGAUUGAGAAGACGGACUCACACUUGGGCGAUGAUAUCCGCUCGAGAAAAAAAAUAAUUUAACGCACACGGGCGUGAAAAUAAUGUUUGAUGGGUUGAAAUUGAUUUUAUUGUUUUUUAAGAGAAUGACGAUUAUCCGGACUACGAGUCAUACGUCAAGAGUCCAGAAAACCGGGAAGUGGGGUAGUCAUACGUCAAUCCACU